CCAUAUUGAACCCACCGCACAUAAACAUUUCAUUAAUUUCAUCUUAUAAAUACACUUUUUCUUAUCUUGGUCCCUGAUGUUUCUGUUCUGCAGUUGUCCAUUUGUCAGCUGCCUGGGUUUAAUUUAUUCAUUAUCUUCCAUCCUCUCUGCGCGGAGGCUGCUGAUUCUUCUGCCCUGACUACAGUAAUGGGCACAUUUUUUCUCUGGACAGUAGUUUGCUUUAAAUUAAUAAGGACUGUGAUUCCUCUUCACUGUUUCACGUGCAGUGAUGUAUGAACUGAAAACAGGGCACAGUCAAAACAGAAAGACUGUGCAGAAAGAGCUUAUUUCCUUCUCAUUGUUUAGUUACAAAUCAGGCCAAAGGUGAAGCUGGCGUUCAUAAUAAAAGCCGUUAACUAAAAUCAAACCUAUAUUUAUUCUUCUAUUCUUGUUUAAACAGCAGUUUGUUGCCUUCACAUCCUGCUUCUCACCUGUUCCCCUCUCAGACCCGUUCAUCCAGACUUUUUCCACCGGCCUGCCUUCCUGCCAGUUUCCCACCUCCUGCCUGGUUCUGGCCUCUGUGUUCACCCGCCUCCUGCCAGGUCCGUUUCCAGCCGCUAACUUCACCCGUCCGUCCUUUCCUGCCUGCGCCUGCAAGGUAGCUGGUGGAGACGCGUCCUCGUGUGCGGAGCUCUGGAACCUGGAGCAGCUGAGGUGGAUGCGCUGCAGGACUGAAGCACAAACUCAGGGACACCCGGAUCAGUGCAGCCUCACGGCCCGUCGCGCUGAUAAGUGGGAGAACAGCAGGACUCCAGGAAUUCCUCUCUGCAUUAAUGGCCUCACGCUCCCACGUUGGACGUUUCCUUUAUGGUUUCUCUUUGGGAACGUUGAUCCCGUCCUGGCGCUGAAACAGAACCAGACUGGUCACAGACGGACUCCACGCCGUCUGCAUGAUUCAUGAAGUGUUUCAUUCCAGACUAAGAUUAAGAAAUCAUGGAGAAUGUCAGGCAGAAGCCUCCUGUCAGCGGCGGUGAUUGAACCCAAGUGAGCGCGUCCGGUCCAACCGCGCUCACUGAGAGCAGCGCCCUCCUCUCGAUCCUGGUGCUGUUCAGCAAACAAACACGGCUCCGCUGUAACGGCUCCACUUCCUGUCUGCCUCACUCUUCUCUUCUCUCACUAAUUUUCUUCCAUUGUUGCCUGGAAAUUAAAAUAUGCAAAGCAGGCCUGCGGUGACGGCGCCACCGGCAUGUGCCGCCAUCGCACACGGUGAGAAUAUAAUUCGUCACCGUGCUCUGGCUAAUUAGCUUGAUUUGAUUGUUAAUGCACUGCCAAUUAGAGGUGGCAGGCG
rnacentral:lncRNA from 1 species